rnacentral:rRNA from 1 species
GACGAACGCUGGCGGCGUGCUUAACACAUGCAAGUCGAACGGAAAGGCCCUGCUUUUGUGGGGUGCUCGAGUGGCGAACGGGUGAGUAACACGUGAGUAACCUGCCCUUGACUUUGGGAUAACUUCAGGAAACUGGGGCUAAUACCGGAUAGGAGCUCCUGCUGCAUGGUGGGGGUUGGAAAGUUUCGGCGGUUGGGGAUGGACUCGCGGCUUAUCAGCUUGUUGGUGGGGUAGUGGCUUACCAAGGCUUUGACGGGUAGCCGGCCUGGGAGGGUGACCGGCCACAUGGGGACUGGGAUACGGCCCGGACUCAUACGGGAGGAAGAGGUGGGAAAUAUUGCACAAUGGGCGGAGGCCUGAUGCAACAACGCCGCGUGCGGGAUGACGGCCUUCGGGUUGUAAACCGCUUUCGCCUGUGACGAAGCGUGAGGAAGGGAAAUGGGUAAAGAGGCACCGGCAAACUACGU